rnacentral:rRNA from 1 species
CUACGGUUGAUCCCGCCGGGACCCGCUGCUAUUCGGAUGGGGAUUUAACCAUGAGAGUCGAACGUCCCCCUGUUGCGGGGGGGCGGGGCGUACGGCUCAGUAACACGUAGUCAACCUGCCCUGGAGACAAGGACAACCCCGGGAAACUGGGAUUAAUCCUUGAUAGGUCAUCUCAUCUGGAAGGAGAGAUGGCUUAAAGGGGUACGCGGGCUUCUUCCGCGAAUCUGCUCCAGGAUGGGACUGCGUCCGAUCAGGCUGUUGGCGGGGUAAUGGCCCACCAAACCUGUAACCGGUACGGGCCUUGAGAGAGGUGGCCCGGAGAUGGACACUGAGAGAAGGGUCCAGGUCCUACGGGGCGCAGCAGGCGCGAAACCUUCGCAAUGCGCGAAAGCGUGACGAGGUUAAUCCGAGUGACUCCCGCUGAGGGGGUCUUUUGUCAGCUGUAAAUAGGCAGGCGAAUAAGGGGAGGGCAAGCCUGGUGUCAGCCGCCGCGGUAAUACCAGCUCCUCGAGUGGUCGGGGCGAUUAUUGGGCCUAAAGCAUCCGUAGCCGGUUCCGUAGGUCCUCUGUUAAAUCCAACCGCUUAACGGUUGACCUGCAGAGGAUACCGCGGGACUAGGAGGCGGGAGAGGCGGACGGUACUCCGCGUGUAGGGGUAAAAUCCUUUGAUCCGCGGAAGACCACCAGUGGCGAAGGCGGUCCGCCAGAACGCGCUCGACGGUGAGGGAUGAAAGCUGGGGGAGCGAACCGGAUUAGAUACCCGGGUAGUCCCAGCCGUAAACGAUGCUAGCUAGAUGAUUCAUUCGCAAGUCGCGAAUGAAAUGUCCCAGGGAAGCCGUUAAGCUAGCCGCCUGGGGAGUACGGUCGCAAGACUGAAACUUAAAGGAAUUGGGGGGGGAACA